CUACGGGGGGCUCCAGUGGGGAAUAUUGCACAAUGGAGGAAACUCUGAUGCAGCAACGCCGCGUGGAGGAUGACACUUUUCGGAGCGUAAACUCCUUUUAUAUAGGAAGAUAAUGACGGUACUAUAUGAAUAAGCACCGGCUAACUCCGUGCCAGCAGCCGCGGUAAUACGGAGGGUGCAAGCGUUACUCGGAAUCACUGGGCGUAAAGAGCGUGUAGGCGGGUUAAUAAGUCAGAAGUGAAAUCCUAUGGCUCAACCAUAGAACUGCUUUUGAAACUGUUAACCUAGAGUGUGGGAGAGGUAGAUGGAAUUUCUGGUGUAGGGGUAAAAUCCGUAGAGAUCAGAAGGAAUACCGAUUGCGAAGGCGAUCUACUGGAACAUAACUGACGCUGAGACGCGAAAGCGUGGGGAGCAAACAGGAUUAGAUACCCGUGUAGUC
rnacentral:rRNA from 1 species